UACGUAGGUGGCAAGCGUUGUCCGGAAUUAUUGGGCGUAAAGCGCGCGCAGGCGGUUUCUUAAGUCUGAUGUGAAAGCCCCCGGCUCAACUGGGGAGGGUCACGCGAUACUGUUCGACUCGAAGGCAGGAGAGGGAAGUGGAAUUCCCGGUGUAGUGGUGAAAUGCGUAGAUAUCGGGAGGAACACCAGUGGCGAAGGCGACUUCCUGGCCUGUUCUUGACGCUGAGGCGCGAAAGCUAGGGUAGCAAACGGG
rnacentral:rRNA from 1 species